UACGUAGGGCGCAAGCGUUGUCCGGAAUUAUUGGGCGUAAAGAGCUCGUAGGUGGUUUGUCGCGUUGUUCGUGAAAACUCACAGCUCAACUGUGGGCGUGCGGGCGAUACGGGCAGACUGGAGUACUGCAGGGGAGACUGGAAUUCCUGGUGUAGCGGUGGAAUGCGCAGAUAUCAGGGGGAACACCGGUGGCGAAGGCGGGUCUCUGGGCAGUAACUGACGCUGAGGAGCGAAAGCGUGGGGAGCGAACAGG
rnacentral:rRNA from 1 species